rnacentral:lncRNA from 1 species
AUGCUCUAUCAGAGGACAAGGGCCUUGGGAGAUGGAUGCUGUGAGAAAUCCUCGCCGGCCACUGAACGCCCUGGCCGUCUGUGCUGCUUCUUCCCAGGUCCCAGGAAUCACAACAGCAACAUGACAUCAGGUUUCUUUGGAUUUCAACAUGCACCGCCCUCUCCUGAGGCCAUAUGCUUACUGCCGUGGAAGAAAUCUGGGUGCACACCCCAGGAGGCAGCACUGCAAGAUCCUGCCUGGCAGGAAGUCAGCUGUGAAAUCAGGACAGCAGGAUAUGCUGGAGAGCGUACCAGCCCAGAGCCUAGGUACAUCCUCUUUGCCAUAGGGGUUUUUAGGUUUUUAGGUUAUUGGUAUGAGCACAGGGCACCAGCUCACCUUUCUGCCAAAAGGCGGACAGAAGAGUUAUGUGCUGUUUUUGCAACAUAGGGAUUAAAGCGCUCCCUCAUAACGUGAGAUUUUGGUUAAUGAUAUUCAUCCUUAAGAUGGUUCUUAUUCUUACACAACCACUGACAAAUCCACCAUCAUUUAUUGCUUUUGGGAGAGGGAAGUUUGACAGUUAACAGUGACAUGCUUUUCCUCCUUGGUCUUUCUGGUUCACGAAAUUGUAAGGGGAGGCCGUAGGCACCCUGUUUCCUUCACUGCAACCCUUAAUAUCAUGGGAUGUGAAAAGUUCAUGCCUUCACUGUUGGGUCAGGUUGCAGAACAUUCUGCUGACAAAGCUGGUGAUUUGAGAGAAUUCCUGAGAGAAGAGAGGAGAACUUGUGAUAAAUGGACUAACAAGGAAAAGUACCUCAAAACCAGCUAAGUUUAGUUUUAAAGCUUGACAGAAUGAUUAAGAAGACCAGUUGAUAUGCUUUUCCUGCACUAAAUGAAUAGAUUUAUUUUCUGGUACUAAAAAUUGUAUAUGUGCUUAUUUUUAGAUGGCAUUGUGUAGCUUAUGCUCACUCAAACAAUAAGCACUGGGGAGUUGAUGUGAAAAUACGGCUGGAGUAAAAAUAGAUGUUUGCUCUAUAUUCUUUCAGCUUCUUGGACUGGAUGUUUCUUAAAGUAUCUGUGUGAAAACAAACACUGUCAAAAUGAAGAGGGCAAGUAUCGUCUCUGUUCCAUGUAACCUAAUAACCUGCCCAAGACAAACUCUGUUUUAUGUUCUUCCAAAACAUAUUCCAGACUGUGUAGUCACUCGAGACUUGUAAUCAAACAGAAGCUGCUGAACCAUCAGCAGCCAAAGUCUACUUCCUAAAAGAGCUGUUGUCAUAUACAUUGUCACAGCCAUUCUGUAUAAUCCUUAUUUCUGUUAGUCAAUAGUUGGUGUGCAAGUAGGCACCCUUUGCCUCCAAGUGUCUACAAAGCAGAAAGG